rnacentral:tRNA from 1 species
GGUGGAGUGGCCGAGUGGUGGGACAACGGCCUGCAAAGCCGUGCACACGGGUUCGAUUCCCGUCUCCACCUCCA